rnacentral:lncRNA from 1 species
CUUCUGUCUCCAUUCAUCCGAUGUGACCCUUUCUCCUGCCACGUAUCUACCAUGGUUUGUUUCUUCAACAGCAGUGACUUUCAUAAACUUGGCCUAAUUUCUCUGCUGUAACCUUUAUAAUGUUAUGUAUAACUCCUUCAUAUUCUCCUAGGUCUUAUAAGAACUCUCUUCUUCUGCAACUACUCUCCUGUAGACAUGGAUUUUUCUAGCUGUGGCUUUUUCUCCAAGUUUCAGUUCUAUUCUGAAAUGCAGAUGUUCAUGCACUCUAAACAGACGUUCUCAAUCCAUAAUAUUCCAUGCUAUUCCCAGACUAGAAAGCAGUCUCUAUCUCAGAAUGUUGAUAAAGACAGCAGUGUUGCCAGCGUAACCCUAAUAUUCUUUUGGUCUUCCUCUAUGCCCUCACCUCAUUGUUCCUCAUCCUUUAUAGAAAAAAAUGACUGUUGUAUAGGCUGUUCACUGUGUCUUUAAUGACACUCGAUAGCACAGGUCAAGGCUGAAAGGACAUGAAGCACAACCAAGUGUCUCAAUCUUCAUUCAGAUUUUAGCCUGUGUCAUAGCAGGAAGAAAUUUAAUACAAUGGGCUACCUAGCUCAGCUACAGGAUGUUGAUUCCAUGUGAAAUAUUGGAACCAUUCAAGAAGAAUGGCAGCGGAAGUUGAGUCCAGAAAGUGUUCAACGCAUGGAAGCAUCUCCAUGAGAAGCAACAGAACGCCAAGAAGGCCAUUAACAGCAGAUUACAUUAUAAGACACAAGAAAGACAGCUAGACAGCGAGUGAACAAACAGAGAAGGCAUAAAAAGCAAAAGCUUCUCCUUUUAUCUGGUUUGUGUGCCUUUCUUUUUCUUCCUUAUACAUUUUAUCUACUUAUUUGUUUUGUAGAAAGACUGUAAAAUAGUUGAACAUGACUGAACUGUGAAAGGACAGUAGAUGAAUAGAGAAUUGUGGAAUAACAGCACCUGCCUUAGAACAUUAUGCGUCUGCAUCCCUGAAGAUAUGCAUGCCUCUAUUUGGAAACUCAAUGAACAGAAAGCACAACAUUAUUUAAUAUUGUCUGUACCUUCGUCUGAUGUUGCAGCAUGGACCACUAGCACGUUUUUUGUUCUUGCUUCUGUCCUUAAAUGGCCCAAGUGAGUUAUCUUCUGAUACUGAGUGAUUACAUCUGAUUUACAUAAUCACAAUUUUGCACCUGAAACUCAUUUUCAUAAGCAAAAUCAGGAAGCUCUUAACUUGCCUUUUGCUUUGUUUCUUCA